rnacentral:rRNA from 1 species
UGGCGGACGGGUGGGUAAUGUCUGGGAAACUGCCCGAUGGAGGGGGAUAACUACUGGAAACGGUAGCUAAUACCGCAUAACGUCGCAAGACCAAAGAGGGGGACCUUCGGGCCUCUUGCCAUCGGAUGUGCCCAGAUGGGAUUAGCUAGUAGGUGGGGUAACGGCUCACCUAGGCGACGAUCCCUAGCUGGUCUGAGAGGAUGACCAGCCACACUGGACUGAGACACGGCCAG